rnacentral:rRNA from 1 species
CCUACGGGAGGCAGCAGUGAGGAAUAUUGGUCAAUGGACGAGAGUCUGAACCAGCCAAGUAGCGUGAAGGAUGACUGCCCUAUGGGUUGUAAACUUCGUUUAUAAAGGAAUAAAACGAGGCACGUGUGCCUGUUUGCAUGUACGUUAUGAAUAAGGAUCGGCUAACUCCGUGCCAGCAGCCGCGGUAAGACGGAGGAUACGAGCGUUAUCCGGAUUUAUUGGGUUUAAAGGGAGCGUAGAUGGGUUGUUAAGUCAGUUGUGAAAGUUUGCGGAUCAACCGUAAAAUUGCAAUUGAUACUGGCAGUCUUGAGUACAGUUGAGGUAGGCGGAAUUCGUGGUGUAGCGGUGAAAUGCUUAGAGAUCACGAAGAACCCCGAUUGCGAAGGCAGCUUACUAAACUGUGACUGACAUUGACGCUCGAAAGUGUGGGUAUCAAACAGGAUUAGAUACCCUAGUAGUC